rfam:Papio anubis isolate 1X1155 chromosome 13, whole genome shotgun sequence.
GGCUUUGAGUGGUGCUACCACCGUCGCCUCUGAGGUUUAACCGAGGCACGAUUGUUGCUGAUUGAAAACAUGAGACCUAAUUCCAGCCCCCCCUCCCUCCAGUGGCAGGCGGAGGCUCCACAUCCAUUUCCUGCCUUGGU